rnacentral:rRNA from 1 species
UUGGAUCCUGGCUCAGGACGAACGCUGGCGGCGUGCUUAACACAUGCAAGUCGAGCGAGCCUUCGGGUUAGCGGCGAACGGGUGAGUAACACGUGAGCAACCUGCCUUCCGCUCUGGGAUAGCCUCCGGAAACGGGGAUUAAUACCGGAUAGGACUUGUGCCCUCAUGGGUGCGGGUGGAAAGUUUUUCGGCGGGAGAGGGGCCCGCGGCCUAUCAGCUUGUUGGGGGGGUGACGGCCCACCAAGGCGACGACGGGUAGCCGGCCUGAGAGGGCGACCGGCCACACUGGGACUGAGACACGGCCCAGACUCCUGCGGGAGGCAGCAGUGGGGAAUAUUGCGCAAUGGGCGGAAGCCUGACGCAGCGACGCCGCGUGGGGGAUGACGGCCUUCGGGUUGUAAACCUCUUUCAGCAGGGGCGAAUCUGACGGUACCUGCAGAAGAAGCGCCGGCUAACUACGUGCCAGCAGCCGCGGUAAUACGUAGGGCGCGAGCGUUGUCCGGAAUUAUUGGGCGUAAAGAGCUCGUAGGCGGCUUGUCGCGUCUGCUGUGAAAUCCCGGGGCUUAACCCCGGGCGUGCAGUGGAUACGGGCAGGCUGGAGGCAGGCAGGGGAGAACGGAAUUCCCGGUGUAGCGGUGAAAUGCGCAGAUAUCGGGAGGAACACCGGUGGCGAAGGCGGUUCUCUGGGCCUGUUCUGACGCUGAGGAGCGAAAGCGUGGGGAGCGAACAGGAUUAGAUACCCUGGUAGUCCACGCCGUAAACGUUGGGCGCUAGGUGUGGGGUCCUUCCACGGAUUCUGUGCCGGAGCUAACGCAUUAAGCGCCCCGCCUGGGGAGUACGGCCGCAAGGCUAAAACUCAAAGGAAUUGACGGGGGCCCGCACAAGCGGCGGAGCAUGUUGCUUAAUUCGAUGCGACGCGAAGAACCUUACCAAGGUUUGACAUGGGCCGUUUACCUCCAGAGAUGGGGGGUCCUUCGGGGCGGUUCACAGGUGGUGCAUGGCUGUCGUCAGCUCGUGUCGUGAGAUGUUGGGUUAAGUCCCGCAACGAGCGCAACCCUCGUCCUAUGUUGCCAGCGGGUCAUGCCGGGGACUCAUGGGAGACUGCCGGGGUCAACUCGGAGGAAGGUGGGGAUGACGUCAAGUCUUCAUG